UACGGGGGGGGCAAGCGUUGUUCGGAAUUACUGGGCGUAAAGAGCGCGCAGGCGGUCGAGUAAGUCGAAUGUGAAAGCCCCCGGCUUAACUGGGGAGGGUCAUUCGAUACUGUUCGACUUGAAGGCAGGAGAGGGCAGCAGAAUUCCCGGUGUAGUGGUGAAAUGCGUAGAUAUCGGGAGGAAUACCAGUGGCGAAGGCGGCUGCCUGGCCUGUUCUUGACGCUGAGGCGCGAAAGCUGGGGGAGCAAACGGG
rnacentral:rRNA from 1 species